rnacentral:rRNA from 1 species
UACGUAGGGUCCGAGCGUUGUCCGGAAUUACUGGGCGUAAAGAGCUCGUAGGUGGUUUGUCGCGUUGUUCGUGAAAACUCACAGCUCAACUGUGGGCGUGCGGGCGAUACGGGCAGACUAGAGUACUGCAGGGGAGACUGGAAUUCCUGGUGUAGCGGUGAAAUGCGCAGAUAUCAGGAGGAACACCCGUGGCGAAAGCGGCUCUCUGGGACGGUACUGACGCUGAGACGCGAAAGCGUGGGGAGCAAACAGGG